GGCCAGGUGUUCAGUUGGUGAGCAACGGACUGAAAAAUCCGUGUCGUUGGUUCGAUUCCGACCCUGGCCACCA
rnacentral:tRNA from 1 species